rnacentral:rRNA from 1 species
UACGAAGGGGGCUAGCGUUGCUCGGAAUUACUGGGCGUAAAGCGCACGUAGGCGGCUUUCUAAGUCAGGGGUGAAAUCCUGGAGCUCAACUCCAGAACUGCCUUUGAUACUGGAGAGCUUGAGUCCGGAAGAGGUGAGUGGAACUCCGAGUGUAGAGGUGAAAUUCGUAGAUAUUCGGAAGAACACCAGUGGCGAAGGCGGCUCACUGGUCCGGUACUGACGCUGAGGUGCGAAAGCUGGGGGAGCAAACAGG